UUUCCAAAGUUUGCAUGUUAACUUUAAAUGCUUACAAUCUUAGAGUGGUAGGCAAUGUUUUACACUAUUGACCUUAUAUAGGGAAGGGAGGGGGUGCCUGUGGGGUUUUAAAGAAUUUUCCUUUGCAGAGGCAUUUCAUCCUUCAUGAAGCCAUUCAGGAUUUUGAAUUGCAUAUGAGUGCUUGGCUCUUCCUUCUGUUCUAACUUCACAGAGAAUGCAGUUGUCUUGACUUCAGGUCUGUCUGUUCUGUUGGCAAGUAAAUGCAGUACUGUUCUGAUCCCGCUGCUAUUAGAAUGCAUUGUGAAACGACUGGAGUAUGAUUAAAAGUUGUGUUCCCCAAUGCUUGGAGUAGUGAUUGUUGAAGGAAAAAAUCCAGCUGAGUGAUAAAGGCUGAGUGUUGAGGAAAUUUCUGCAGUUUUAAGCAGUCGUAUUUGUGAUUGAAGCUGAGUACAUUUUGCUGGUGUAUUUUUAGGUAAAAUGCUUUUUGUUCAUUUCUGGUGGUGGGAGGGGACUGAAGCCUUUAGUCUUUUCCAGAUGCAACCUUAAAAUCAGUGACAAGAAACAUUCCAAACAAGCAACAGUCUUCAAGAAAUUAAACUGGCAAGUGGAAAUGUUUAAACAGUUCAGUGAUCUUUAGUGCAUUGUUUAUGUGUGGGUUUCUCUCUCCCCUCCCUUGGUCUUAAUUCUUACAUGCAGGAACACUCAGCAGACACACGUAUGCGAAG
rnacentral:lncRNA from 1 species